UACGGGGGGGGCAAGCGUUGUUCGGAAUUACUGGGCGUAAAGGGCUCGUAGGCGGCCAACUAAGUCAUACGUGAAAUCCCUCGGCUUAACCGGGGAACUGCGUCUGAUACUGGAUGGCUUGAGAUUGGGAGAGGGAUGCGGAAUUCCAGGUGUAGGCGGUGAAAUGCGUAGAUAUCUGGAGGAACACCGGUGGCGAAGGCGGCAUCCUGGACCAACACUGACGCUGAGGAGCGAAAAGCCAGGGGAGCAAACGGG
rnacentral:rRNA from 1 species